GAUGAACGCUGGCGGCGUGCCUAAUACAUGCAAGUCGAGCGAACAGAUGAGGAGCUUGCUCCCCUGACGUUAGCGGCGGACGGGUGAGUAACACGUGGAUAACCUACCUAUAAGACUGGGAUAACUACGGGAAACCGGAGCUAAUACCGGAUAAUAUAUUGAACCGCAUGGUUCAAUAGUGAAAGACGGUUUUGCUGUCACUUAUAGACGGAUCCGCGCCGCAUUAGCUAGUUGGUAAGGUAACGGCUUACCAAGGCAACGAUGCGUAGCCGACCUGAGAGGGUGAUCGGCCACACUGGAACUGAGACACGGUCCAGACUCCUACGGGAGGCAGCAGUAGGGAAUCUUCCGCAAUGGGCGAAAGCCUGACGGAGCAACGCCGCGUGAGUGAUGAAGGUCUUCGGAUCGUAAAACUCUGUUAUUAGGGAAGAACAAAUGUGUAAGUAACUAUGCACGUCUUGACGGUACCUAAUCAGAAAGCCACGGCUAACUACGUG
rnacentral:rRNA from 1 species